rnacentral:misc_RNA from 1 species
GAUGAAGAACGUAGCGAAAUGCGAUAAGUAAUGAGAAUUGCAGAAUUCAGUGAAUCAUCGAAUCUUUGAACGCACAUUGCGCCCGCCAGCACUCUGGCGGGCAUGCCUGUUCGAGCGUCAUUUCAACCAUCAAGCCCCCAGGGGCUUGUGCUGGGGCCCUGCGGCUGCCCGCAGGCCCUGAAAACCAGUGGCGGGCUCGCUAGUCACACCGAGCGCAGUAGCACAUCUCGCUCAGGGCGUGCGGCGGGCUCCUGCCGUGAAACCCCCCACUGUAACCCCAAAGGUUGACCUCGGAUCAGGUAGGAAUACCCGCUGAACUUAAGCAUAUCAAUAAGCGGAGGA